rnacentral:rRNA from 1 species
GAUGAACGCUAGCGGGAGGCCUAACACAUGCAAGUCGAACGGGAUUGAGAGCUUGCUCUCAUGAGAGUGGCGCACGGGUGAGUAACGCGUAUGCAACCUGCCUUUAACAGAGGGAUAGCCCAUAGAAAUGUGGAUUAAUACCUCAUAGUUCUGAGAGAUCGCAUGAUUUUUCAGAUAAAGUUCCGGCGGUUAAAGAUGGGCAUGCGUGACAUUAGCUAGUUGGUGAGGUAACGGCUCACCAAGGCGACGAUGUCUAGGGGUUCUGAGAGGAUGAUCCCCCACACUGGUACUGAGACACGGACCAGACUCCUACGGGAGGCAGCAGUGAGGAAUAUUGGUCAAUGGGCGCAAGCCUGAACCAGCCAUCCCGCGUGCAGGAUGACGGCCCUAUGGGUUGUAAACUGCUUUUAUACACCAAGAAAAAUCCGAACGUGUUCGGACCCGACGGUAGUGUAUGAAUAAGCAUCGGCUAACUCCGUGCCAGCCGCCGCUGUAAUAC